rnacentral:rRNA from 1 species
AGAGUUUGAUCAUGGCUCAGAGCGAACGCUGGCGGCGUGCUUAACACAUGCAAGUCGAACGCGAAAGGGGGCAACCCUGAGUAAAGUGGCGUACGGGUGAGUAACGCGUAGACAAUCUACCUGAGUGUCUGGAAUAACCUGCCGAAAGGCGGGCUAAUACUGGAUAGAGCGACGGAACCUAUAAUGGGUUUUUCGGGAAAGGGAGGCAGCAAUGCCCCUCGCGCUCAGAUGAGUCUGCGUCCCAUCAGCUAGUUGGUAAGGUAACGGCUUACCAAGGCAAUGACGGGUAGCUGGUCUGAGAGGAUGAUCAGCCACACUGGAACUGAAACACGGUCCAGACUCCUACGGGAGGCAGCAGUGGGGAAUCUUGCGCAAUGGACGAAAGUCUGACGCAGCCACGCCGCGUGAGUGAAGAAGGCCUUCGGGUUGUAAAGCUCUGUCGAACGGGACGAAAACCUGCCAGUUAAUAGCUGGUAGACUGACGGUACCGUUAAAGGAAGCACCGGCUAACUCUGUGCCAGCAGCCGCGGUAAUACAGAGGGUGCAAGCGUUGCUCGGAAUUAUUGGGCGUAAAGGGCAGGUAGGUGGUCUUAUUUGUCUAGGGUGAAAUCCUUGAGCUUAACUCAAGAAGUGCCCCGGAAACGGUAAGACUAGAGUACUGGAGAGGGUCGUGGAAUUCCCGGUGUAGCGGUGAAAUGCGUAGAGAUCGGGAGGAACACCAGCGGCGAAGGCGGCGACCUGGACAGUGACUGACACUCAACUGCGAAAGCGUGGGGAGCAAACAGGAUUAGAUACCCUGGUAGUCC